rnacentral:rRNA from 1 species
GACGAGCGCUGGCGGCGUGCUUAACACAUGCAAGUCGAACGGUGAAGCGCCUUCCUUUUUGGUGGGUGUGGAUGAGUGGCGAACGGGUGAGUAACACGUGAGUAACCUGCCCCCUUCUUCUGGAUAACCGCAUGAAAGUGUGGCUAAUACGGGAUAUUCUGGGUCUGUCGCAUGAUGGGUCUGGGAAAGAUAUUGUUUCGGUGGGGGAUGGGCUCGCGGCCUAUCAGCUUGUUGGUGGGGUGAUGGCCUACCAAGGCGGUGACGGGUAGCCGGCCUGAGAGGGUGGACGGUCACACUGGGACUGAGACACGGCCCAGACUCCUACGGGAGGCAGCAGUGGGGAAUAUUGCACAAUGGGCGCAAGCCUGAUGCAGCGACGCCGCGUGAGGGAUGGAGGCCUUCGGGUUGUGAACCUCUUUCGCCAGUGAAGCAGGCCUGCCUCGUUUGUGGGUGGGUUGACUGUAGCUGGAUAAGAAGCGCCGGCUAACUACGUG